GACAGAGGGGGCAAGCGUUGCUCGGAAUUACUGGGCGUAAAGGGCGCGUAGGCGGGAUGGCAAGUCGGUCGUGAAAUCCUUCGGCUCAACCGAAGAACGUCGAUCGAUACUGCUGUUCUUGAGGGUUGCAGAGGAGACUGGAAUUCCCGGUGUAGCGGUGAAAUGUGUAGAGAUCGGGAGGAACACCGGUGGCGAAGGCGGCCACCUAGCCCGCACCUGACGCUGAGGCGCGACAGCGUGGGGAGCGAACUGG
rnacentral:rRNA from 1 species